GAUGAACGCUAGCGGCAGGCCUAACACAUGCAAGUCGAGGGAGAGGUUACCUUCGGGUAACCAAAACCGGCGCACGGGUGCGUAACGCGUAUACAAUCUGCCUUUCACAUAGGGAUAGCCCGAAGAAAUUUGGAUUAAUACCUAAUGGUAUAUAAGAGCGGCAUCGUUUUUAUAUUAAAGCUACGGUGGUGAAAGAUGAGUAUGCGUUCUAUUAGCUAGUUGGAGAGGUAACGGCUCCCCAAGGCGACGAUAGAUAGGGGUUCUGAGAGGGAUGUCCCCCACACUGGUACUGAGAUACGGACCAGACUCCUACGGGAGGCAGCAGUGAGGAAUAUUGGACAAUGGUCGGAAGACUGAUCCAGCCAUGCCGCGUGCAGGAUGAAGGUCCUAUGGAUUGUAAACUGCUUUUGUAAGGGAAGAAUAAGGAGUACGUGUACUUUGAUGACGGUACCUUACGAAUAAGCAUCGGCUAACUCCGUGCCAGCAGCCGCGGUAAUACGGAGGAUGCGAGCGUUAUCCGGAAUCAUUGGGUUUAAAGGGUCCGUAGGCGGGCUGAUAAGUCAGAGGUGAAAGCGCUUAGCUCAACUAAGCAACUGCCUUUGAAACUGUCAGUCUUGAAUGAUUGUGAAGUAGUUGGAAUGUGUAGUGUAGCGGUGAAAUGCUUAGAUAUUACACAGAACACCGAUCGCGAAGGCAUAUUACUAACAAUUUAUUGACGCUGAUGGACGAAAGCGUGGGGAGCGAACAGG
rnacentral:rRNA from 1 species